AGUGAACGCUGGCGGCGUGCUUAACACAUGCAAGUCGAACGAGAACGGAUAUUAGCUUGCUAAUAUUGUCAGCUAAGUGGCGCACGGGUGAGUAAUGUAUAGAUAAUAUGCCUUCUACUAAGGAAUAACAAUUAGAAAUGAUUGCUAAUGCCUUAUAUGCCUUUUAAUCAUAAGAUUGUAAAGGGAAAGAUUUAUCGGUAGAAGAUUAGUCUGUAUAGUAUCAGUUAGUUGGUAGGGUAAUGGCCUACCAAGACAAUGACGCUUAACUGGUUUGAGAGGAUGAUCAGUCACACUGGAACUGAGACACGGUCCAGACUCCUACGGGAGGCAGCAGUGGGGAAUAUUGCACAAUGGACGAAAGUCUGAUGCAGCAACGCCGCGUGGAGGAUGACACAUUUCGGUGCGUAAACUCCUUUUAUAUAGGAAGAUAAUGACGGUACUAUAUGAAUAAGCACCGGCUAACUCCGUGCCAGCAGCCGCGGUAAUACGGAGGGUGCAAGCGUUACUCGGAAUCACUGGGCGUAAAGAGCGUGUAGGCGGAUUAAUAAGUCAGAAGUGAAAUCCUAUAGCUUAACUAUAGGACUGCUUUUGAAACUGUUUGUCUAGAAUGUGGGAGAGGUAGAUGGAAUUUCUGGUGUAGGGGUAAAAUCCGUAGAGAUCAGAAGGAAUACCGAUUGCGAAGGCGAUCUACUGGAACAAUAUUGACGCUGAGACGCGAAAGCGUGGGGAGCAAACAGG
rnacentral:rRNA from 1 species